UGCAGACCCUCCUGGAGAUGACCACCAGCCUCCUGAACCAUGACCUGGACUGGUCCCUGUCGCACCUGUGGGCCGCCGUGAGCAGGGGUCUCCACCCUCGCCUGGACCACUGCAGCACCUGCCUGCAGCACUAUAGGAAGAAGCUGGAGGCAGACGACGAGAUCAUUAUCUUCAGAUUAAAGUGACAUCUGUUCAUAACACAACCUUUGGGGAUGCUCGUGGAAGAAAGUUGCUGUCAGUUCUGGCUCUAGACCCUCAGCAGACUCAAGCCUUUGACCAGCUCUGAUGCAUCUACAGGGGACCAGCCAGGGUAACAGUUAUUGUUAUUGCCAUUAUUACCUUGUAUUGCAGUGUAGGAAUGUCCAUAGAGUAUUGCCAUUACAAAUCCUAUCGGUAUACUUUAUUAUCAUUUAUUUCUUAGCAGACGCCCUUAUCCAGGGUGACUUACAAUUGUUACAAGAUAUCACAUUAUUUUUACGUACAAUUACCCAUUUAUACAGUUGGGUUUUUACUGGAGCAAUCUAGGUAAAGUACCUUGCUCAGGGGUACAACAGCAGUGUCCCCCACCUGGGAUUGAACCCACGACCCUCCGGGCAAGAGUCCAAAGCCCUAACCACUACUCCACACUGCUGCCCCACGUGCUGUGGCUGUAUACAGAAAUAGAUUUUCACUCUAAGCAUGUCUAGAAACAGGCUUAUUUUUCUUCUGUCAGAGCUGCAUAACUUACAUCAGACUUAACAGUUGAAUGUCACUGGCUUUGAGGUCACAUGUUGUGGCUGUGUGGUCCAGUGGUUAAAGAAAAGGGCCUGUAACCAGGAGGUCACUGGUUCAAAUCCUGGCUAAGCCACUGACUUGUUGUGUGACCCUGAGCAAGUCUCUUAACCUCCUUGUGCUCCAUCUUUCUGGUGAGAUGUUGUUGUAAGUGACUCUGCAGCAGAUGUAUAGUUCACACACCCUAGUCUCUGUAAGUUGCCUUGGAUAAAGGCGUCUGCUAAAUAAACAAAUAAUAAAAAACUGCCAGGUAAAAACACAACAGAUAGAAAGGGCAUAAUUGAAAAAGGACUCCUUGAGUGGAGCUUACUGCUAUUAUUUAUUAUUAUUUAUAUAUAAUCGAAACAAAACAGUUAAUCAUGUAAAUUUGCGUUGUAUGUAUUUAUAUUAUCACCUGUUCUGUAUUUCUCCAUAUCAGAGGGUUGCUCUAGCUAAGAACGAGUUGCUCUGUCCUGUAUUUAACAUCACUUCCCACAGUGUUGAUUCACCCACAUCCAGCUGUCCUUGUUAUCUUAAUAAGGACAAUGAGGCUCCUGACCCCUGGCGCACUGUGUUCAGUGAGGUGUGUGUUUUCCCUGACUGGUGUCAGUUCUGGCUCUAGUUUAAGUGCUUUACUGUGUGAUCUCUGCCAUAGUGUUCUCAUGAGUCUUUGUAUUUAUCAGCUGCAUGCUAUUUUAACAUUGCUAUUUGGGAACCUUCUAGAUCUCCGGGACUAACACCUGAGAUAAUAUAACAAGGAGGUCUUUAGUGAAGCACUUUCAUUUCCUAUACUUUGUAUUAUGACCUUCAGAAAGCUCAAUGUAACACAAAACCACAGCAGAAGCAUAGCAAUCAAUAAAGUUAACAUACAGAAACAAGCCAGACAGGCCAAUAUUUAUUACUGCUAUGUUUGUGUUUUUUUGCUGUGGUGAUUAUAGAGCACUUUAUAUUGGUAUUCAUUUUCACAGUGACCUGAUGUGUUAGAUAAUUUCAUUCCACUGGUAUAUCUUUUGUUUUUUCAUCCUGAUGGAAAAGUGGAAUUAAAAUGGCUUUUGAAGCUUUUUAGUCUUGAUAAUAAAGUUUUUUUUUUGUUUUGUUCUGUUUUGUUUUUUGCCGCUCAUAAAACUGAAUUGGUAUCUCUCCCAUGAAUUGUCCCCCAUUAAAAUGGAAGUCAUUAUAAAACUAGUUUAGGCAUACAGUAAAAGUGUGUAAAUUGCUUUUAUCCCACUAGCAUUAGUAUAAUUUGCUUUUUUUUCCAUGGUGGGAGAUAUUUAUGUCACUUUAAGCUGUUCAUGUUUAAAAAAAACAUAAUGAGAUCAAUCGACAUGAAUAAGAUUGAGUUUGUUUCAAAUUUAGUAAUCGAUUGUGAUAUUUCCAAACGUAGGACUGGUAUCAACAAGCAGGGCUUGUGUGGUCUGGCUGUUUCCAGUUUACCCAUUUCUGAAAUGCCUUGUUUCUAAUGUAUACACAUAUAUUUUAAAAUCUGAAAUCAAAUGUGAAAAUGAGUCGCAUCAUAUUGCAGCCAAGUUUUCAAAGGGUUUGAGUUUACUACGUGCUGGGAUUACUAGAGAGCUAAUUUAACAGUUGUUUGAUAUAUUUAGAACUGGAGAUAGAGGCCUUAAUCCUGAAUACAGCUUUUGUCUUGAUAAGAGCAAAUCGGAACUGUAAAACUGAAACACUUAAUUCUAAAAUAUGUCGCAAUACUAAAAGAAACUUGGUAUAUUAGGAUUGCUACAUCCCAUGCAAUAAUGAGAAGAAUCAGUAAUUUUGAUUUGUUGUGAUGUGCCUUCUGAUUUCUGGAUUAUUCUAACGUCACAUCAAUGAUAUUUCAUGUGGGAAUACCUGGAAGGUUGAAACCAGAACCCCUUAUCGUCUUUGGAAUCAUGUCCCUGUUAAGGCAAAGUAUCCUCUAAUUAUGUAAAUCUGGUCCAUGUUCCAGGUCAUAUGUUCCAGACCAGUUAUGUUUUUUCUUUUUUUCUUAUUAAUGUAAGAAACUGGGUUGUAUUUACUUGUUAAUUGGGAGAGUGACGUGGUAAUCGCUCGGUCAUGUGCUGUGUGUUUUUGGGACUGUGCCUGUAUUCCCAUUAAUAUUGGCCAAUUUGUUGUGAAAUGACCCUGAAGUAGAAUAGCAUCAUUCUUCUCAUUAGUAUAGGAAGUGUGGAGUAAUGGUUAGGGCUCUGGACUCUUGACCAAAGGGUCGUGGGUUCAAUCCCCAGUGGGGGACGCUGCUGUACCCUUGAGCAAGGUACUUUACCUAGAUUGCUCCAGUAAAAACCAAACUGUAUAAAUGGGUAAUU